CCUACGGGAGGCAGCAGUGGGGAAUAUUGGACAAUGGGCGAAAGCCUGAUCCAGCAAUGCCGCGUGAGUGAUGAAGGCCUUAGGGUUGUAAAGCUCUUUUACCAGGGAUGAUAAUGACAGUACCUGGAGAAUAAGCUCCGGCUAACUCCGUGCCAGCAGCCGCGGUAAUACGGAGGGAGCUAGCGUUGUUCGGAAUUACUGGGCGUAAAGCGUACGUAGGCGGUUAUUCAAGUCAGAGGUGAAAGCCUGGAGCUCAACUCCAGAACUGCCUUUGAAACUAGAUAGCUAGAAUCUUGGAGAGGUGAGUGGAAUUCCGAGUGUAGAGGUGAAAUUCGUAGAUAUUCGGAAGAACACCAGUGGCGAAGGCGACUCACUGGACAAGUAUUGACGCUGAGGUACGAAAGCGUGGGGAGCAAACAGGAUUAGAUACCCUGGUAGUCCACGCCGUAAACGAUGAUAACUAGCUGUUCGGGCUCUACGAGCUUGAGUGGNGCAGCUACGACAUUAAGUUAGUUCCGCCGUCGGGAGGUACGGUCGGCGAAGAAGUUAAAACGUUAAAAGGUAAAGUUAGUUACGGUCGUUGAGAGUUGCCGACGGACGACACGAGGGAGGAGG
rnacentral:rRNA from 1 species